rnacentral:pre_miRNA from 1 species
AAAAAGACAAAACCUGAGUUUCCGUGUCCAACUUUAACUGUCCGUCUUAUAUGGAAUUUUUUUAUAAUUUAUAUUUUCAUUAUUGUUAGAUGAUAAAACAUGAUUAAUAUUUUAUGCGUGACUUGUGUUUUUAAUUUUUUUCAUAACUAGGAAGGUAGCCCGCGCAAAUGCGCGGGCAUGCAUUGUACACUAAGUUUGAGACACUAAAA